rnacentral:rRNA from 2 species
AGUGGCAGACGGGUGAGUAACGCGUGGGAACGUACCCUUUGGUUCGGGAUAACCCAGGGAAACUUGGGCUAAUACCGGAUGCUCCGGAAACGGCAAAGAUUUAUCGCCGAAGGAUCGGCCCGCGUCGGAUUAGCUAGUUGGUGGGGUAAAAGCCUACCAAGGCGACGAUCCGUAGCUGGUCUGAGAGGAUGAUCAGCCACACUGGGACUGAGACACGGCCCAGACUCCUACGGGAGGCAGCAGUGGGGAAUAUUGGACAAUGGGCGCAAGCCUGAUCCAGCCAUGCCGCGUGAGUGAAGAAGGCCUUAGGGUUGUAAAGCUCUUUCAGCGGGGACGAUAAUGACGGUACCCGCAGAAGAAGCCCCGGCUAACUUCGUGCCAGCAGCCGCGGUAAUACGAAGGGGGCUAGCGUUGUUCGGAAUUACUGGGCGUAAAGCGCGCGUAGGCGGAUAUUUAAGUCAGGGGUGAAAUCCCAGGGCUCAACCCUGGAACUGCCUUUGAUACUGGGUAUCUGGAGUUCGGGAGAGGUGAGUGGAAUUCCGAGUGUAGAGGUGAAAUUCGUAGAUAUUCGGAGGAACACCAGAAGCGAAGGCGGCUCACUGGCCCGAUACUGACGCUGAGGCGCGAAAGCGUGGGGAGCAAAC